rnacentral:rRNA from 1 species
UACGUAGGUGGCUUGGUAAGUCGGAUGUGAAAGCCCUGGGCUUAACCUGGGAACUGCAUCCGAAACUGCCUGGCUAGAGUAAGGGAGAGGGAAGUGGAAUUUCCGGUGUAGCGGUGAAAUGCGUAGAUAUCGGAAGGAACACCAGUGGCGAAGGCGACUUCCUGGCCCAUUACUGACACUGAGGUACGAAAGCCAGGGGAGCGAACG